rnacentral:rRNA from 1 species
UACGAAGGGUGCAAACGUUGCUCGGAAUUAUUGGGCGUAAAGCGCACGUAGGCGGCAUUGCAAGUCGGAUGUGAAAUCUUAUGGCUUAACCAUAAAAGUGCAUCCGAAACUGCAGUGCUUGAGUACUUAAGAGGAUCGCGGAAUUCCCGGUGUAGAGGUGAAAUUCGUAGAUAUCGGGAGGAACACCAGUGGCGAAGGCGGCGAUCUGGGAAGAUACUGACGCUGAGGUGCGAAAGCGUGGGGACAAACAGG